rnacentral:lncRNA from 10 species
UAUUUUAUUGAGAAAAGAGGUUUAAUUUCUCACAGUUCUGUAGGCUGUACAAGCAUGGCACCAGCAUCUAUCUUAUCAGCUUCUGGGGAGGCCUCGGGGAGCUUUCACUCAUGAUGGAAGGUGAAGCAGGAGCAGGCACAUCAUCACAUGGUGAAGGCAGGAGCAAGACAGUGUAGGGGGAAGGUGCCACACGCUUAAACAACCAAUCUUAUGAUAACUCACUCACCAUUGCAAGGACAGCACCAAGCCAUGAGGGAUCUGCCCCAUGACCCAAACCCCUCCACCAGGCCCCACCUCCAACAUUAGGGAUUACAUUUCAACAUGAGAUUUGAGUGGCGACAAAUAUCCAAACUAUAUAUCAUAUGCCCUUAGGGAAUUGCAAAUUAAAACAAAAAUGAGAUACUAUUACACAUCUAUUAGAAUGGCCAAAAUCUAAAACACUGACAAUAUCAAAUGCUGACAAGGAUGUUGAGCAACAGGAACUCUCAUUCAUUGCUCAGGGGAAGGGCAAAUGGUACAGACACUUUGGAAGACAAUUUGGCAGUUUCUUACAAAAAUUAAAUAUACUCCUACCAUAUGAACCAGCAAUUUGCUUUGUGGUUAUUUAACCAAAUGAACUGAAAAUAUGUCCACAAAAAACCUGCACACAGAUGCUUAUACCAGCUUUAUUCAUGAUUGUCAAAACUUGGAAGCCACCAAGAUGUCCUUCAGCAGGUGAAUGGAUAAACUGUAGUACAUUCAGACAAUGGAAUAGCAUUCAGCACUAAAAAAUGAACUAUCAAGACAUGAAAAGACAUGGAGGACCCAUAAACGCGUAUCACUAAGUGAAAGAUGCCAAUCUGAAAAGGCUACAUACUGUGUGAUUCCAAAUACUGUACAUAACAGUCUGGAAAAGCAAAAAUACGGAGAAGUCCAGGUUGCCAAGGAUUAGGAGAGAGUGAUGAAUAGGCAGAGCACAGAGAUUUUGGGGGCAGUGACAACCACUCUGUAUGAUACUACAAAAGUGGAUACAUAUCGUUAUACUUUUGUCCAAACCCAUAUAAUGUAUGGCACCAAGAGUGAACCCUAAUGUAAAUUAUGAACUUUUGGGGGUAAUGAUGAAUCAGUGAAAGUUCAUUGAUUGUAACAAAUCUAUCACUCUAGUGGAGAUGCUGAUCCUUGUUUAUGCAUGUGUGGGGGCAGGGAAUGAAUGGGAACUCUGUACUUUCUGCUCAAUUUUGCUAUGAACUUAAAACUGCUCAAAACAAUGUUCUGGGCUGGCCACCAUGGCUCACACCUGUAAUCUCAGCACUUUGGGAGGCCAAGGCACUUUGCAUCACUUUACUCAGGAGUUUGAGACCAGCCUGAGCAACACAGUGAAACUUCAUCUCUAUCAAAAUUUUUAAAAAACCCAAUGUUCUGGAAUUAGUGAUAACAACUAAUUUGAUGUCAUGGCACUAUGAAUGUACUAAAACCUACUGAAUUGUACAUUUUAAAAGGGUGGCUUUUAUGGUAUGUCAAUUAUAUCUCAAUAAAGCUGUUAUUAAAAAGACACUAUUUCACAAGAUUAUUGUGUGGAUUAAACAAGAUCAUGUGGCAUUUUGUAUAUGUCUGUUAUAAUACUUGGUAAAUACUGUUUUGUAAAUACUUGUUGCCUUCUACCCAUAGACAUUAACAGCUGCAGAGCCUGGCCUGGGCUGUCUUUUCAACUUUAGUUUUAUUUUUAUAUUUUACUUUUUAGAGACAGGGUUUCACUCUGUUGUCCAGGCUGGAGUGCAGUGGCACGAUCAUGGGUCACUGCAGACUUGACCUGUUGGGCUCAAGCAAUCCUCCUGCCUUGGCCUCCUAAGUAAGCUGGGAGUACAAGCACCCACACCACCACUGGCUAAGCUUUGUAUCCUCAGUGUUUAGCUUAAUACCUGGCAUUUGGUGCUUAAGGAAGGAAUUGCAGGUGAGAGACAAAGUAGAGAGAAGGACCACAGAUGACUCCAAGGCUUCUAAUCUGGACUAACAGAUGAGUGGUGGCUGACACAGACUUUAAAAUGAUAAGCUGGUUUUGUUUGCUUGUUUGUAUAUUUGGUAAAGUACAUUGUAGUUUAAAUGAGUUGUAUUUGAACAGUGUGUGGAAAUGCCCGGUUUAAUCUAUCCAAAUUUUAAGUAAAGAUACAAGUCCCAAAUUCAAAAAGGAGGUGAGGGCUGGGUGUGGUGGCUCACACCUGUAAUCCCAGCACUUUGGGAGGCCAAAGCGGGUGGAUUAUCUGAGGUCAGGAGUUAGAAACCAGCCUGGCCAACAUGGUGAAACCCCAUCUCUACUAAAAAAAAAAAAUACAAAAUUAGCUGGGCGUGGUGGCACAUGCCUGUAAUCCCAGCUAUUUGGGAGGCUGAGGCAGGAGAAUUGCUUGAUCCUGGGAGGCGGAGUUUGCAGUGACCCGAGAUUGUGCCAUUGCACUCCAGCCUGAGCAACAAGAGUGAAACUCCAUCUUAAAACAAACAAACAAACAAAAAAAAAAAAACGAGAGAGAAAGACGUGAGGGGUAAAGCUUGAAAAUGUGUCAUCAGUCACCAGUGGUCUGUGGGCAAAAUCCAUCCUGCUAAUGGGUUUCAUUUGGCCAGAACAAUCUUUUAAAUAAGUUGCCAACAGUUGAAAAUUAGAAGAUUCUCAAAAAUAUCAAGAAUUUUAACUUCUGCCAAAAGGUCAGAUAUCUGGCAACGCUAAUCUCGUGUUCCCUAAAGGCAAUGACCAGCUGCCCCGAAGUGAGCUUAGUUGGCUCCUUUCAUCUUAGAUGGGAGUUGAAGCGAAGAUUCUGGAGAGCAAGGAGGGACACCGCAAAGGACAGAUCCUUCAGAAUCACCAGCAAGUGGCCGGGCACGGUGGCUCAUCCUGAAAGGAUAAAAUCUUGCAAAUGAAGAACAGAGGUUAAAAAGAAGGGGGAGGCCAGGUGCAGUGGCUCACACCAGUAAUCCCAGUACUUUGGGAGGUCGAGGCAGGCUGAUCACUUGAGGCCAGGAGUUCCAGACCAGCCUGGCCAACAUGGUAAAACCCCGUCUUUACUAAAAAUACAAAAAUUAGCCAGGUGUGGUGAUGCAUCCCUGUAGUCCCAGCUACUUGGGAGGCUGAGGCACAAGAAUUGCUUGAACCCAGCAGGUGGAGGUUGCAGUGAGCUGAGAUUUUGCACGACAGGAAGAUCCUUGUGUUUUAACUGUUCUGUAUCUUGAGUGUGGAGGUGGAUACAUGGACCUACAUAUGACAUAAAAUUAUAUAUAAUUAAAUGCAUUCACACACACAUAAAAUGAGUCUGAGUAAAACUAGGGAAACUUGUACAAAAUUGGUGGACUGUGCCAAUUUUGAUAUUCUGGUUGUGACUAUACUUUUGCAAAGUAUUAUCAUCAGUAGGAUCUGGGUUAACGGUAUGCAAGUUCUCCGUAUUAUUUCUUUCGACUACAUAUGAAAUCUACAGUUAUCUGAAUAAAAUUUUUUUUUUUUUUUUUUGAGACAGAGUCUCGCUCAGGGUGGAGUGCAGUGGCACAAUCUUGGCUCACUGCAACCUCCGCUCCCAGGUUCAAGCGAUUCUCCUGCCUCAGCCUCCUGAGUAGCUGGGACUACAGGUGCUCCCCACCAUGCCCAGCUAAUUUUUUGUAUUUUUAGUAGAGAUGGGGUUUCGCCACGUUGGCCAGGAUGGUCUCAAUCUCCUGACUUCGUGAUCCACUCGCUUUGGCCUCCCAAAGUGGUGGGAUUACAGGCAUGAGCCACUGCGCCCAGCCUGAAUAAAAAUUUAAAUAAAAAGAGACACCAUGUUUCACCCAUGAGAUUGGCAAACAAAUUUUAAAAUCUCACAGUAUAAAGUUCUGGCAAGGGUGUAAGAAACAUGAAGCCUUCAUCCACUGCUACUGAGAGUAUAAUUAGCUAUGGCCACUUUUGAGAGUAAUAUGACAAGCAACCAGUGAAAUUUAAAAUAUCACCCUUCAUUGCUCAACAUUCACCUUCUGGGGCAUAUAUACUCUAGAGAAAUGAUUCUGCAUGGGCCUGAAAAAAUUUGCAAAUUUGCAUGUAAGGGUUUAUGAUAGCAAAGGAGUGAAAAUAAUGUAAAUAUCCUCUAAUAGGUGAAUGAACAAAUAGAACAUAGUUUAUUUAUAAUAUAAAGCAGCAUAAAGUAAUGAACUUGAUGAGAAUGAACAUAUAUAUAUAUACACACACACACACACGCAGAUAGAUCUUAGAGACACAAUAUCAAAUUUAAAAAGCAAGUUACGGAUUGAUAUUUACUUAUUCAACAAAUACUUGGGUGCUUACCAUGUGUCAGGAGCUGUUCUAGGAGCUAGCAGUACAGCAGAAAACAGACAAAGCAAGAUAAAGUCUCUGCUUCACAUAUCUUACAUUCUUGUACAGGAACACAAGCAAAUAGACACAAUACUAUUUAUGUAAAAAUGUUAAGGGUGCAUGUAUGGUUUGGAAUAUAUAUCACAUGUAUACACAUACACAUACAUAUGUUAAUGUAUACACACAUUUUUUAACUGCUCCUUGUGGAGCAGGGGUACUCUAAAAGCAGUGUGCCUAGGGAAGCCAUACUUUUUAAAAAAUAAUAUUUAAGGCUGGGCAUGGUGGGUCAGGCCUGUAAUGACAGCACUUUGGGAGGCCAAGGCAGGUGGAUCACCUGAGGUCAGGAGUUCAAGCCCAGCCUGACCAACAAGGUGAAACCCCA